rnacentral:rRNA from 1 species
GAUUAUGGCUCAGAACGAACGCUGGCGGCAUGCCUAACACAUGCAAGUCGAACGAUGGCUUCGGCCAUAGUGGCGCACGGGUGAGUAACACGUGGGAAUCUACCUGACAGUGGGGAAUAACAGAGGGAAACUUCUGCUAAUACCGCAUACGCCCCUUCGGGGGGAAAGAUUUAUCGCUGACAGAUGAGCCCGCGUCCGAUUAGGUAGUUGGUGGGGUAAAGGCCUACCAAGCCUUCGAUCGGUAGCUGGUCUGAGAGGAUGAUCAGCCACACUGGGACUGAGACACGGCCCAGACUCCUACGGGAGGCAGCAGUGGGGAAUAUUGGACAAUGGGCGCAAGCCUGAUCCAGCAAUGCCGCGUGAAUGAUGAAGGCCUUAGGGUUGUAAAGUUCUUUCGGGUGGGACGAUGAUGACGGUACCACCAGAAGAAGCCCCGGCUAACUUCGUGCCAGCCGCCGC